GGUCUUCAGGGCAGGGUGAAAUUCCCGAUCGGCGGUAAAGUCCGCGAGCGUUUUCAACGCAGGAUUUGGUGAAAUUCCAAAACCGACAGUAUAGUCUGGAUGGAAGAAGAUG
rnacentral:ncRNA from 1 species